rnacentral:rRNA from 1 species
AAUAUUGGUCAAUGAGCGAAAGCUUGAACCAGCCAAGUCGCGUGAAGGAUGAAUGCCCUACGGGUUGUACACUUCUUUUUCUAGGGAAUAAAGUUGGCCACGCGUGGCCAUUUGCAUGUACCUUGCGCAUAAGGAUCGGCUAACUCCGUGCCUGCAGCCGCGGUAAUACGGAGGAUCCGAGCGUUAUCCGGAUUUAUUGGGUUUAAAGGGUGCGCAGGCGGGGGAUUAAGUCGGUGGUGAAAUUUUGCGGCUCAACCGUAAGAGUGCCAUUGAUACUGGUUCCCUUGAGUGUAGAAGAGGUAGGCGGAAUUUGUGGUGUAGCGGUGAAAUGCAUAGAUAUCACGAGGAAAUCCGAUUGCGCAGGCAGCUUACUAGGCUACUACUGACGCUGAUGCACGAAGGCGUGGGGAUCAAACAGG